CAGCGUCAAAACGAUUUAUUAUGAGAGCUUAAACGUAUUAGCUCAAACGAAAUUCAACCAAAGGAUACAAUGGUUUGGACAAUAUUUUAGACAAAUUAUUUUACGUUCUACGUUUUAUCCAAUAAAUAUAUUUCAUUAUACUAGUAUAAGUAUAUUUUUAAUAACAUAAGAUAACACAUGAAGAAGAAGAAGAAGAAUAUCAAUAAACGAUUUAGCUUGCUCGUACAGCUGUUAAAAAAAAAAAAAAAAAAUGAUGAACUUAUUGAAAUAGCUUUGACGAUCGUUAACGCGUACAAUUUCAUAAAGGAAAUCCAAGUUUUUUCUUCAAAUAAUCCCACGUGAGAAGAGCUUUAAAGAUAUUCAGCAGGACGAGUCAAAUAACUGCGGAAUUAAAGCGGCAGCUUCGAAAAAGGGUACGGGGGCUGCGUGGCAUCCUUGGUUGGUUGCAACCUUCUUUGCCCAUCGGUUCAUCGCGUUCAAACGGGGCCUGCGCGCGCGCACGCACGCACUCACUCACUCACUCACUCACUCACUCACUCACUCACUCACUCACUCAUUCACUCACUCACGCGAGAACGAUUUGCGAUGCAAGUAUUUCACACAGUCCCCGUGUAAUUUAACGAGGUCAUCCACUUUUUUCCCUUCCCUUCCCUUUUGGUUUUUUUUUUUAUUUCUUACAAAUGACAGUCAGGGUAAAGUACUUAAAAACGGCUGUUAACGUUCUAACUAUUAUUCACGUGUUGCUCUUUGACGGUAUGCUCGUUGAAAGGUACUCUCUGGUACACUGAAAUACAAUUUUGUAGAUAUAAAAGGAAUAAAGAAUUCCAACCGUUGAAGAUACCACCACGUUCCACUUAGGACACUUUGAAGACAACUGAGAAAAUCAGGGGGAUCGAUCGUUAAAUUGGUCCACCUUGCGUGUUGUUGGUUGCGUUCAUGCUGUCACCUUCUCGAUAGAGCUAGUAGACGCUGAACAGGAGCUAGAACGAAAACCGGGUCAGAGGCGGAUAUACGUAUCGAUAGUCCAACACCACCACCGCCCAUUACCGGUAGUAUUACCCUCUCCCUCUUUACGUCGAGGGAGAAACCGCACACGUUGAUGGAUCUGAAGUCGUUUCAAAUCCUUACCAAACUCAUAGUACGUCAAAGAAGAAGCAUUAAGAAGACACACGUUCGUUCAAUAUACCCAACAACGAGAAUUCCCAUGAACGAAUAGGAGUGGUGGUGUAUAAACGAGCACCCGCGCAUGUGUUAGUUGGUAUAUCGAGUGAAACUCCGAGUCUAGUUGUGUCUGACUGGGACGUUCGGGCGCAGGAGCAGAGGCACCGACAGGACAAACUGACAGGGGCGCACGUUCACGUAGGGAACGGAACGUUAGACGGACCGACGGGUAGAAAACGACGUACCUCUUACCGAACAAGGACUUUCAGACCUCGCUCAGUUUUAGUAACACACGAGACAGCAUACUCGAUUGACAGCAUUCGACCACCUCUCUCCGAUAGUUUAUUUUCAAAAACAAAUCAAAAUAUAUUUUCAAAAGAGAAAAACACCUAGUUAUCCUGAAGUUUCCAGAUCGAUGUGCAGAAUGACACGAAAAAGGGAAGAGGAGACUGGAAGAUAAUCUACCGGGUGGAUAGAAUACUCGUGUGACGUGUCAACGAAACAAUUAUAUUUUUUUCCUUCUUAUUCUUCAUCUUUUUUUUUCUUGUCGUGCAAUUACUCGAGACGUUUUCUAUCGUCGUAUUUUUACGUUUUCAAUGUUAUAAAGUAGUUCUUUUUACGGUUCGUCGAAUAAGAGAAAAAUUUGUACGUGCCCUUAAAAAUUGUACCUCAUACCGGGUAUAGCGUGCACCAGAGUGGAAUGAGGUCGUAGGUCAGAGGCCUACUAAAGAUUAAUCUUGUUUUAAUGUCGUGUGUUAUCAAAGUGGAUAUUAUUUUUUAUGAUUUUUUUUUUCUUCUUUAAACCAAAUCGCGAUUUACGUGUCGUCGUUCGUUGGUUCGUUCGUUCAAGAGAGAGAGAGAGAGAGAGAGAAAAAGAGGAGACCAAGUAAGCAACCUACUAAAUUGUUCUAAAAAAACACAAAUCAUAGAAAUCGUUAAAACGUUCGCGAAUCGUUUGAUCGUGUCAUUGUAAAAAUUGCAGUUCGAUUUUGUAGUAUCUGUCAUGGCUGAAUAAGAGAUAACACCGCUCUUAUGCAACUCUUACUACUCGCUGCUGCGUAGUAUAGUCUCCAGAAGUUCCUAAAAGAAAAUAAGAUUGUUAAUCGUGUUCUUUAAACAAGUUGAGAAGGACCAAUAGUUCAAUUAGUUCUUCUUCUUCUUCUACUUCUUUUUGUUCGACAAUCGUCGGUGUUUUAUCGACGAGCACUAGCACCAACUCGAUUUGCACACAGGUAUUUAAAUGCUUCGACACUUAUUCACGCGUAGUAGCAAUUGUACUUAAUUAUCGUAGAAACGUUUAACAAAGAACAAAUCAAACAAACAAACAUUAGACGACGAUCUCGAUAUUUUCAUUUUUCUAAGUAAAAUAAACGUAUCAUUAAUUAUUCUUCACGAUAACAUUAACGUUCAUUCGAAGACAAUUAGUUAAACAAACAAAAAGCAAGCAUUAAAUUAUACUGACACUUCAUAUCAUACAAAACAACUUGUUCUAUAACAAACCCAGCCAGGGGCUGACCUACAUUCUCAUAAUAUUUCUUUCCAUUGGUCGGGAAAAACCUUUACGAUGUCAACGAUUAAUAUACCAAGUUGAAGUCACGUUCGCGAAAGGUAAGACCUAUUGUACGAGCCGGUUCCGUCGAUGACACUAGAGGAUAAAAUAUCAGACGAGAGUGUGAUAAAAAAAAAUAUAAGUCGUAGGAUAGACGGGAAUGAAAAAAAGAAUGAAUAAUAAUAAAGAAAGGUAUGAGAAAAAAGCGGAUGUUGGAGCUUUAGAGCGAGACUCCAUGACUAGGCUAGGCUAACGUUAGGGCAUUGUGCUAGCGAGAAGAUGACACUUCCUAAGAAAAUAAGAUAAAAGAUUAGAACGAUAGUUGAUAAAUAAAAAUCAACAAGCUCAACGUGUUAGAGUCUUCAAAAAUCGAUAAUGGAGUAAGUUUUCUUUUUCGAAAGGCGUUGGUACUACUAUAUCGAUUAUGUCACGAUAGUUAAACUUCUAUAAAUUUACUUUAUUUCUAUCUUAUCUUCUUUCGUUGUUGUUCUGGUUAUGAGAGUAUCAAAAUAAUCCUUUCUUAUUACACACAUUUAUAUAUUACGUUUUAUUUACGCAAUAUAUUUGCAACAAACGAAGGUUCUAAACUCGGGGGCUAAUGGAUUAACAUACAGGAAACAACGAUGUGGUAUCCGAUAAACAUGGCCACGUGACAAUAGCACAUCGUCAUUGUAGAACAUCGCAGCAGGUGAUUCGAAGAUGUUCCUUCUCGAUAAAACUACGUUACCUACCCGCACACAGACUGACAGUUCCGUUCUUAUCUGUCGUUACCCUCGAUCUGCACGUACAUUUUUAUCCGUUCGAUAUAGAAUUUUUUCUGCAAAAUUAUAAAUUCUAGAAAAAUUGUAACAACAACAUUCGAUACAUUUAAAAAGAAUACAAAAAUUAGAUUAUUUUACUCGAUCGUUAAAAUAAUAUUCUUUCCUAAAUUUUGUGAAAUAAUACACGUUCCCUCAAUGUACAUACGUCUGUUUGGAUGCGUCAAACAACAUCAUUUCCCUUAUCUUCCUUCAUUUUUCUUCCUUUUUACAGUUGAAAUAUCGAUUGUGCUGCGUUAUUAGAGUCUCGCCCGCAUUCGACGAGCAUAGACAAGAUAACCAACAGGAACUCCUACUUUUAUUCCAAGUAAUUCUUGUCUGUUGUCAUUUCUCAUUAAUGUUAAAAACAAUUCUGGUUUCUGAUAGUUCGUUGUUUUCUUCUUUUUUUUUCUUUUCUUUGAUGAUCUUAAAAUUAAAAGACCAAUUUUUUUAAAAGGAAGAUAAAAAAAAAUGGAUCAUAAUAUUUCGAAACGAAUAAAAAAAUCACAGCCAGGUCAUCGUAAAUUCUGUAACCCAUAUAUUAACACGUCGUAACUUCUCAGCAUGUCUUCGCAAAUGGGCAUAUCGAUUUGGUUAGCUCGAAAUAAGCCACAAAAGUGCAAUAGGCGAGUCUCCUCUAGUGAAAUUAAUCCCCUAUAGUGCACUAGUCGAUUAUCUUCGACAGUGUAUCUAAUCAAAUCGUACUUUUUGCCAUUUCCUAAAAUAGAAUGCCACAAAUCCUAGGAAAUCUGAGACGAUAGGAAAAUAACCUCUUAUUGAUACCAAGGUAAAUUGUCGGUUUAAGGUGUUUCCAUAAACGUUGGGCAAGAUCGAUAGGAACCUCUUUUACUCAAUGUCAUCAUUCAUCACACACAAAUGUUUCCUUGCACUUUCUUAAUCAAACGAAGUCUGAGACGUCUAGUCCUUAAAUUAGGUUUACUUUGGUAGACUUUCAAUCCAUCCUAGCUAAUUUCUAAUAGGUUCCAAUGAGUUAUUGUUCUAAUGUUUUUUAUUUUCUCAUAAAUUUUUCUUCUUUAUUUUUAUUCUUGGAAGCCUAGGGAAGGCACGCGAACGCGUUAAUUUUCCAUAUUAGAUAAGAAAUCAUAUAUGAGUUGUUCUUAGUAGUCACAUCUAUUCAUCGAUGUGCAUAAAAAGGAUGGAAUUGAACGCACACACACUCUCUCAACGGGCACGAUCAAUAACUCGAGGAAUGGGCAGUUGGCCUGUACUCGUAUAAUGCCGACGGAGCAGUAGUGCCAUGGCUCGUUUCUGCUUUUCCGACGGAAAUAAGAGCGGAAGUUUUGAACGUAUCUAAGGCUAGAACGACGAUUUUCUCGUUCUACGAUGAAUUAUAUUCGUUCUAGGAAAAUACUAUUUUUACGCUCGUAUACAUACGUGAUUAUAAUAACUCCUGCGAAUAGAAUUUAAACUUUUGCGAUAAUCGUUCGAUCAAUUGCAAAAAAAAAA
rnacentral:lncRNA from 1 species